ensembl:snoRNA
AUCCUUUCAGAGUUCAAAGGCUUGACAUUUUAAGUUUUCACACACACAUAUGAGAUGUGCCUCCCUCAAAUGUUGUCACGACAUCGGUACAUUGCCAUCUGAUG